CAGCUGUAUAGGGCCAGCGCUGCAGAUUGGCCACACUUACAGCAACCAGCGCUGCAAGUGGUGUUAGAUGUGGCCACACUGCAGCGCUGUUGGGCGGCUUCAAGGGGGGUGAGACCAGCUUCGCCGCGGUUUGCUCUCGCGUUCCCGGAGCCACCCUGCAAACCGCAGGGAAGGAGACCUGCUUGCUCGGGGUUCCGGGAACGAGAGAGCAAACCGGGAAAGGAGACCAGCUUCGCCGCGGUUUGCUCUCGCGUUCCCCGAACCACCCUGCAAACCGCAGGGAAGGAGACCUGCUUGCUGGGGGUUCGGGGAACGAGAGAGCAAACCGGGAAAGGAGACCAGCUUCGCCGCGGUUUGCUCUCGCGUUCCCCGAACCACCCUGCAAACCGCAGGGAAGGAGACCUGCUUGCUCGGGGGUUCGGGGAACGAGAGAGCAAACCGGGAAAGGAGACCAGCUUCGCCGCGGUUUGCUCUCGCGUUCCCCGAACCACCCUGCAAACCGCAGGGAAGGAGACCUGCUUGCUCGGGGGUUCGGGGAACGAGAGAGCAAACCGGGAAAGGAGACCAGCUUCGCCGCGGUUUGCUCUCGCGUUCCCCGAACCACCCUGCAAACCGCAGGGAAGGAGACCUGCUUGCUCGGGGGUUCGGGGAACGAGAGAGCAAACCGGGAAAGGAGACCAGCUUCGCCGCGGUUUGCUCUCGCGUUCCCCGAACCACCCUGCAAACCGCAGGGAAGGAGACCUGCUUGCUCGGGGGUUCGGGGAACGAGAGAGCAAACCGGGAAAGGAGACCAGCUUCGCCGCGGUUUGCUCUCGCGUUCCCCGAACCACCCUGCAAACCGCAGGGAAGGAGACCUGCUUGCUCGGGGUUCGGGGAACGCGAGAGCAAGCCGGGGAAGGAGACCAGCUUCAUUACCAGAGGCUUCCUCGGUGAUGCUGAGAUACCUGCUUAUUCCACGGAGGUCAAGAAAAGCGCUGGUAAGUGUCUAUACUUGAUUACCAGCGCUGGAUCACCAGCGCUGGAUCCUCUACACCCGAGACAAAACGGGAGUACGGCCAGCGCUGCAAACAGGGAGUUGCAGCGCUGGUGGUGCCCUGCAGAUGUGUACACCUCCUAAGUUGCAGCGCUGUAACUCCCUCACCAGCGCUGCAACUUUCUGAUGUAGACAAGCCCUGAGAGAGUUGUAUACUGCUGU
rnacentral:lncRNA from 1 species